CUUGGUCAUUUAGAGGAAGUAAAAGUCGUAACAAGGUUUCCGUAGGUGAACCUGCGGAAGGAUCAUUAUGAAUUAAUAAUAUUUGUGAAUUUACCACAGCAAACAAAAAUCAUACAAUCAAAACAAAAAUAAUUAAAACUUUUAACAAUGGAUCUCUUGGUUCUCGUAUCGAUGAAGAACGCAGCGAAACGCGAUAUUUCUUGUGAAUUGCAGAAGUGAAUCAUCAGUUUUUGAACGCACAUUGCACUUUGGGGUAUCCCCCAAAGUAUACUUGUUUGAGCGUUGUUUCUCUCUUGGAAUUGCUUUGCUCUUCUAAAAUUUCGAAUCAAAUUCGUUUGAAAAACAACACUAUUCAACCUCAGAUCAAGUAGGAUUACCCGCUGAACUUAAGCAUAUCAAUAAGCGGAGGAAAAGAAACCAACAGGGAUUGCCUUAGUAACGGCGAGUGAAGCGGCAAAAGCUCAAAUUUGAAAUCGGCCCCCAGGUCGAGUUGUAAUUUGUAGAUUGUAUCUUGAGAGCGGAUUAAAGUCUGUUGGAACACAGCGCCUUAGAGGGUGACAGCCCCGUAAAAUCUAUUCUCAUUGUAAGAUACUUUCGAAGAGUCGAGUUGUUUGGGAAU
rnacentral:sRNA from 1 species